UGGGGAAUAUUGCACAAUGGGGGAAACCCUGAUGCAGCAACGCCGCGUGAAGGAUGAAGGUUUUCGGAUCGUAAACUUCUAUCAACAGGGACGAAACAAAUGACGGUACCUGAAUAAGAAGCCCCGGCUAACUACGUGCCAGCAGCCGCGGUAAUACGUAGGGGGCAAGCGUUAUCCGGAAUUACUGGGUGUAAAGGGAGCGUAGGCGGCACGUCAAGCCAGAUGUGAAAGCCCGGGGCUUAACCCCGUGGAUUGCAUUUGGAACUGGCGAGCUAGAGUACAGGAGAGGAAAGCGGAAUUCCUAGUGUAGUGGUGAAAUGCGUAGAUAUUAGGAAGAACACCAGUGGCGAAGGCGGCUUUCUGGACUGAAACUGACGCUGAGGCUCGAAAGCGUGGGGAGCAAACAGGAUUAGAUACC
rnacentral:rRNA from 1 species